rnacentral:rRNA from 1 species
UACAGAGGUGGCAAGCGUUGUUCGGAUUUACUGGGCGUAAAGGGUGCGUAGGCGGCCCCGUGUGUCGGAUGUGAAAGCCCACCGCUUAACGGUGGAAAGUCAUUCGAAACUGCGGGGCUAGAGUACAGGAGGGGAGAGCGGAAUUCUUGGUGUAGCGGUGAGAUGCGUUGAUAUCAAGAGGAACACCGGUGGCGUAAGCGGCUCUCUGGAAUGAUACUGACGCUGAGGCACGAGAGCUAGGGGAGCAAACAGG